AGCGGCGGACGGGGGAGUAACGCGUGGGCAACCUGCCUCAUACAGGGGGAUAACAGUUGGAAACGGCUGCUAAUACCGCAUAAGCGCACAGUACCGCAUGGUACGGUGUGAAAAACUACCGGUGGUAUGAGAUGGACCCGCGUCUGAUUAGGUAGUUGGUGGGGUAACGGCCUACCAAGCCGACGAUCAGUAGCCGACCUGAGAGGGUGACCGGCCACAUUGGGACUGAGACACGGCCCAA
rnacentral:rRNA from 1 species